rnacentral:rRNA from 1 species
UACGGGGGGGGCAAGCGUUGUUCGGAAUUACUGGGCGUAAAGGGCUCGUAGGCGGCCAACUAAGUCAGACGUGAAAUCCCUCGGCUUAACCGGGGAACUGCAUCUGAUACUGGAUGGCUUGAGAUUGGGAGAGGGAUGCGGAAUUCCAGGUGUAGCGGUGAAAUGCGUAGAUAUCAGGAGGAAUACCGGUGGCGAAAGCGACUCUCUGGACGGCAACUGACGCUGAGGCACGAAAGCGUGGGGAGCAAACAGG